UACGGAGGAUGCGAGCGUUAUCCGGAUUUAUUGGGUUUAAAGGGUGCGUAGGCGGACUGUCAAGUCAGCGGUAAAAUUGAGAGGCUUAACCUCUUCCCGCCGUUGAAACUGGUGGUCUUGAGUGGAUGAGAAGUACGCGGAAUGCGUGGUGUAGCGGUGAAAUGCAUAGAUAUCACGCAGAACUCCGAUUGCGAAGGCAGCGUACCGGCAUCCAACUGACGCUGAGGCUCGAAAGCGUGGGGAGCAAACAGG
rnacentral:rRNA from 1 species